rnacentral:rRNA from 1 species
AUGGCAGCAGCAAUUCCCAGCGCCACCCGGACCAGCCCAGACGACUGCUACUGCACCGAGCCCGGCUGUGGCUUCCAGGCCCCGCCGCGGGCGCUCCUCGACCACCUCGUCGCCGUGCACUCCCUGCGCGCGGCCAGAAUCUCCUACGGCGACCAGUACGAGCUCGUCGUGCCGGCGUCGGAGCGCCGGAUCCUCCUGCUCGCGGAGAAGGACGAGCGCGUGUUCCUCCUGGCCGUAGGCGACGCCCACGGCUGGGGCCCGUCCGUCAGCUCCGCCGACGGCGACGAGAACCGCGCGUUCAAGGCGAUCUCCGUGCUGUGCCUCAGGGCGAACGCGGCCGCGGAGGCGGGGCCGCAGUACGUGACCGAGCUCUCCACCGCAGGUGAGACGAUGUCGACGGAGUCAGCCGUGUGGAGCUCGCCGGGGCCGUGCGAGGCCCCCCUGAAGUCCAUUCUGCCGGCGACCCUGCACGGGGCGUCCAAGGACGUGCAUCUCCGCGUACGCAUCAGCGUCGCGAAAAAGUCGCGGUUCUGGAAAAAGUUUCGUCACUCUUGCAAGUUCGGAUUCCUCGGAAGACUUUGUUGUUGUGUCAAGGUAUAUCGGACGGGUAACUCGGUGACAUAUGUCAGUUGCAUCUGA